rnacentral:misc_RNA from 1 species
GAUGAAGAACGCAGCGAAAUGCGAUAAGUAAUGUGAAUUGCAGAAUUCAGUGAAUCAUCGAAUCUUUGAACGCACCUUGCGCCCUUUGGCCAUUCCGAAGGGCAUGCCUGUUUGAGUAUCAUGAACACCUCAACUCUUUAUGGUUUUCCAUGAUGAGCUUGGACUCUGGGGGUUUUGCUGGCUCACAGUCGGCUCCUCUAAAAUAAAUCAGCUUACCAGUGUUUGGUGGGUAUCAUGGGUGUGAUAACUAUCUGCGCUUGUGGUUUUUCCACCAGGUAACCUUCAGCAGUGGAGGUUCGCUGGAGCUCAUAGACGUCUCUCCUCAGUGAGGACAGCCAUUUGAACGUUUGAUCUCAAAUCAGGUAGGACUACCCGCUGAACUUAAGCAUAUCAAUAAGCGGAGGA